rnacentral:rRNA from 1 species
CUAAACGUCCGUAGCCGGUCUGAUACAUUCGUGGGUAAAUCAACUAGCUUAACUGGUUGAAUUCUGCGAGGACGGUCAGACUUGGGACCGGGAGAGGUGUGGGGUACGCUCAGGGUAGGGGUAAAAUCCUGUCAUCCUGAGCGGACCACCUGUUGCGAAGGCGCCACACUAGAACGGAUCCGACGGUCAGGGACGAAGCCUAGGGGCACGAACCGGAUUAGAUACCCGGGUAGUCCUAGGUGUAAACGCUGUGGACUUGAUGUUGGGGGUGCUCCGAGCGCUUCCAGUGUCGAAGCGAAGGUGAUAAGUCCACUGCCUGGGAAGUACGGUCGCAAGGCUGAAACUUAAAGGAAUUG